rnacentral:rRNA from 1 species
CCUACGGGAGGCUGCAGUGGGGAAUAUUGCACAAUGGGGGAAACCCUGAUGCAGCGACGCCGCGUGAGUGAAGAAGUAUUUCGGUAUGUAAAGCUCUAUCAGCAGGGAAGAAAAUGACGGUACCUGACUUAGAAGCCCCGGCUAACUACGGGCCAGCAGCCGCGGUAAUACGUAGGGGGCAAGCGUUAUCCGGAUUUACUGGGUGUAAAGGGAGCGUAGACGGCAGCACAAGUCUGGAGUGAAAUGCCGGGGCUUAACCCCGGAACUGCUUUGGAAACUGUGCAGCUAGAGUGCAGGAGAGGUAAGUGGAAUUCCUAGUGUAGCGGUGAAAUGCGUAGAUAUUAGGAGGAACACCAGUGGCGAAGGCGGCUUGCUGGACUGUAACUGACGUUGAGGCGCGAAAGCGUGGGGAGCAAACAGGAUUAGAUACCCGGGUAGUC